CCGAGUUUACAACUCCCAAACCCCUGUGAACAUACCACUUGUUGCCUCGGCGGAUCAGCCCGCUCCCGGUAAAACGGGACGGCCCGCCAGAGGACCCCUAAACUCUGUUUCUAUAUGUAACUUCUGAGUAAAACCAUAAAUAAAUCAAAACUUUCAACAACGGAUCUCUUGGUUCUGGCAUCGAUGAAGAACGCAGCAAAAUGCGAUAAGUAAUGUGAAUUGCAGAAUUCAGUGAAUCAUCGAAUCUUUGAACGCACAUUGCGCCCGCCAGUAUUCUGGCGGGCAUGCCUGUUCGAGCGUCAUUUCAACCCUCAAGCACAGCUUGGUGUUGGGACUCGCGUUAAUUCGCGUUCCUCAAAUUGAUUGGCGGUCACGUCGAGCUUCCAUAGCGUAGUAGUAAAACCCUCGUUACUGGUAAUCGUCGCGGCCACGCCGUUAAACCCCAACUUCUGAAUGUUGACCUCGGAUCAGGUAGGAAUACCCGCUGAACUUAAGCAUAUCAAU
rnacentral:rRNA from 1 species